rnacentral:rRNA from 1 species
AUUGAACGCUGGCGGCAUGCCUUACACAUGCAAGUCGAACGGUAACGGGCCUUCGGGUGCCGACGAGUGGCGAACGGGUGAGUAAUAUAUCGGAACGUACCUUUCAGUGGGGGAUAACGUAGCGAAAGUUACGCUAAUACCGCAUAUUCUGUGCGCAGGAAAGCAGGGGGCCUUCGGGCCUUGCGCUGAUUGAGCGGCCGAUAUCAGAUUAGCUAGUUGGUGAGGUAAAGGCUCACCAAGGCGACGAUCUGUAGCGGGUCUGAGAGGAUGAUCCGCCACACUGGAACUGAGACACGGUCCAGACUCCUACGGGAGGCAGCAGUGGGGAAUUUUGGACAAUGGGGGCAACCCUGAUCCAGCCAUCCCGCGUUAGUGAAGAAGGCCUUCGGGUUGUAAAGCUCUUUCGGCCGGGAAGAAAUCGUAUGGGCUAAUACCCUGUGCGGAUGACGGUACCGGCAUAGAAGCACCGGCUAACUACGUGCCAGCAGCCGCGGUAAUAC